GAUGAACGCUGGCGGCGUGCUUAACACAUGCAAGUCGAACGUGAGGGUGUAGCAAUAUGCCUGAAAGUGGCGAACGGGUGAGUAACACGUAGAUGACCUGCCCUGGAGUGGGGGAUAACCACUGGAAACGGUGGCUAAUACCGCAUACAUCCAUAUUUCUGGGAAGAGAUGUGGGGAAAGCUCUGGUGCUCUGGGAGGGGUCUGCGUCCGAUUAGCUAGUUGGAGAGGUAAAAGCUCACCAAGGCGACGAUCGGUAGCUGGUCUGAGAGGACGAUCAGCCACACGGGAACUGAGACACGGUCCCGACUCCUACGGGGGGCAGCAGUGGGGAAUUUUGGGACAAUGGGCGAAAGCCUGAUCCAGCCAUGCCGCGUGUCUGAAGAAGGCCUUCGGGUUGUAAAGGACUUUUGUCAGGGAGCGAAAACUUACUAGGUUAAUACCGGUGAGGCUGAGAGUACCUGAAGAAUAAGCACCGGCUAACUACGUGCCAGCAGCCGCGGUAA
rnacentral:rRNA from 1 species